UACGAAGGGAGCUAGCGUUGUUCGGAAUUACUGGGCGUAAAGGGCGCGUAGGCGGCGACCCAAGUCAGAUGUGAAAGUCCUGGGCUUAACCUGGGGACUGCAUUUGAUACUGGGUUGCUUGAAUUCGGGAGAGGAUAGCGGAAUUCCAGGUGUAGCGGUGAAAUGCGUAGAUAUCUGGAGGAACACCGGUGGCGAAGGCGGCAUCCUGGACCAACACUGACGCUGAGGAGCGAAAGCCAGGGGAGCGGAACGGGAUUAAGAUGACCCGUGUAGUCCAGUCAAGC
rnacentral:rRNA from 1 species